rnacentral:rRNA from 1 species
CUUAGCAUAUCAAUAAGCGGAGGAAAAGAAACAAACAAGGAUUCCCCUAGUAACGGCGAGUGAAGAGGGAAGAGCCCAAGAUUGAAAGCUGGCGUCUUUGGCGUCCGCAUUGUAAUCUCAAGAAGUGUUUUCCGCUUCGGACCAUGCCUAAGUCCCUUGGAAAAGGGCAUCAUAGAGGGUGAUAAUCCCGUACAUGGCAUGGAGCGCCCGAAGCUUUGUGAUACACUUUCUAAGAGUCGAGUUGUUUGGGAAUGCAGCUCAAAAUGGGUGGUAAAUGCCAUCUAAGGCUAAAUAUUGGGGAGAGACCGAUAGCGAACAAGUACAGUGAUGGAAAGAUGAAAAGAACUUUGAAAAGAGAGUUAAACAGUACGUGAAAUUGCCAAAAGGGAAGGGUAGGAGGUCAGAGAUGCGGUCUGGGAUUCAGCCUUGCUUUUGCUGGGUGUUUUUCUCAGAUUGCAGGCCAACGUCGGUUUUGGGCGCUGGAGAAGGGUGGAAGGAAUGUGGCACCUCUCGGGGUGUGUUAUAGCCUUCUACUGGAUACAGUGACCGAGACCGAGGACAGCAGCGUACUCGCAAGAGCGGGCCUUCGGGCACCUUUACGCUUAGGGCGUUGGCAUAAUGGGCCCUCUACCACCCGUCUUGAAACACGGACCAAGGAGUCUAACAUGUAUGCGAGUCUUUGGGUGGCAAACCCAUAGGCGCAAKRAGUGGGAUCCGCAAGGUGCACCAUCGACCGAUCCUCACGUCUUUUUAAGUCGUGGAUUUGAGUAAGAGCAUACCUGUUGGGACCCGAAAGAUGGUGAACUAUGCCUGAAUAGGGUGAAGCCAGAGGAAACUCUGGUGGAGGCUCGUAGCGGUUCUGACGUGCAAAUCGAUCGUCAAAUUUGGGUA